UACCAGCACCCCGAGUGGUCGGGACGUUUAUUGGGCCUAAAGCAUCCGUAGCCGGUUCUACAAGUCUUCCGUUAAAUCCACCUGCUUAACAGAUGGGCUGCGGAAGAUACUAUAGAGCUAGGAGGCGGGAGAGGCAAGCGGUACUCGAUGGGUAGGGGUAAAAUCCGUUGAUCCAUUGAAGACCACCGGUGGCGAAGGCGGGUCUCUGGAACGGUACUGACGCUGAGACGCGAAAGCGUGGGGAGCGAACAGG
rnacentral:rRNA from 1 species